rnacentral:rRNA from 1 species
UACACUUAGUGGCGGACGGGUGAGUAACGCGUGGGUACCUGCCUCACACUGGGGGAUAACAGUUAGAAAUAGCUGCUAAUACCGCAUAAGUCCGCAUGGAAAAAACUCCGGUGGUGUGAGAUGGACCCGCGUCUGAUUAGCCAGUUGGCGGGGUAACGGCCCACCAAAGCGACGAUCAGUAGCCGGCCUGAGAGGGUGAACGGCCACAUUGGGACUGAGACACGGCCCAAACUCCUACGGGAGGCAGCAGUGGGGAAUAUUGCACAAUGGGGGAAACCCUGAUGCAGCGACGCCGCGUGAGUGAAGAAGUAUUUCGGUAUGUAAAGCUCUAUCAGCAGGGAAGAAGUGACGGUACCUGAAUAAGAAGCCCCGGCUAACUACGUGCCAGCAGCCGCGGUAAUACGUAGGGGGCAAGCGUUAUCCGGAUUUACUGGGUGUAAAGGGAGCGUAGACGGCAAGGCAAGUCUGAAGUGAAAGCCCGGUGCUUAACGCCGGGACUGCUUUGGAAACUGUUUGGCUGGAGUGCCGGAGAGGUAAGCGGAAUUCCUAGUGUAGCGGUGAAAUGCGUAGAUAUUAGGAAGAACACCAGUGGCGAAGGCGGCUUACUGGACGGUAACUGACGUUGAGGCUCG